rnacentral:lncRNA from 1 species
CACAACUGCUUGUUAUCUGCCAGAACAUUACGUGAGCUGAAUUAGAGCACUUGUGGGCCUCACCUGCAGCUGUCAUCAAGAGGUGCAAAUUCCAUGCAAAGUUUAUUAGCUCAAAGGUGUAUUUGUUCAGGAUGGAGCAACAGAGUCUUCUAAAGAGUUCCCAAGAUUGGAUUCACAUGAUCUUGGCCUUCUCUUUCUGGCAAAGGACCUUGAUAGUAUUAUGGAGUAGCAUUGUAGCCUGGCUCAGAGGGGGUCUCCAUUUCAAAGGAGCACAGCAGUCCACCACAAGGUUAAGAGACUUUGAACCAUGGAAGAUCGCUCUCAUAAUUCUGGGCAUUGCAUUUGCAGCAGCAGUCACCAUCGGCCUCCUGGUUUAUUUUUUGCAACACGAUCAGAGGCAAUUCUAUUACAGUAGCAGCUUCAGAAUCAUUGGUGUCCAGU